GCUCGCAGGUCUAAUACUCUAAAGGUACCAAAUUCUGUCUGAUCUUGGAAGCUAAGCAGGGUUAAACAUGGUUAGUCCUUGGAUGGGAGGCCACCCACCAAUGAAUACCAGGAACAUGUCAGAU
rnacentral:rRNA from 1 species